GAUGAACGCUAGCUACAGGCUUAACACAUGCAAGUCGCGGGGCAGCAUGGGGGUUGCUUGCAAUCCCCGAUGGCGACCGGCGCACGGGUGAGUAACGCGUAUCCAACCUGCCCUUCACCACGGGAUAACCCGGCGAAAGUCGGACUAAUACCGUAUGUUGUCCAUUGACGGCAUCCGAUUUGGACGAAAGGCUUGGCGGUGAGGGAUGGGGAUGCGUCCGAUUAGCCAGACGGCGGGGUAACGGCCCACCGUGGCUACGAUCGGUAGGGGUGCUGAGAGGAAGGUCCCCCACACUGGAACUGAGACACGGUCCAGACUCCUACGGGAGGCAGCAGUGAGGAAUAUUGGUCAAUGGGCGUAAGCCUGAACCAGCCAAGUAGCGUGCAGGAUGACGGCCCUAUGGGUUGUAAACUGCUUUUAUGCGGGGAUAAAGUGGCCCACGUGUGGGCUUUUGCAGGUACCGCAUGAAUAAGGACCGGCUAAUUCCGUG
rnacentral:rRNA from 1 species